GCUUACGGCCAUCACCCUGAACACGCCCGAUCUCGUCCGAUCUCGGAAGCUAAGCAGGGUCGGGCCUGGUUAGUACUUGGAUGGGAGACCGCCUGGGAAUACCAGGUGCUGUAAGCU
rnacentral:rRNA from 1 species